rnacentral:rRNA from 1 species
UGGGGAAUAUUGGACAAUGGGCGCAAGCCUGAUCCAGCCAUGCCGCGUGAGUGAUGAAGGCCUUAGGGUUGUAAAGCUCUUUCGCCGGUGAAGAUAAUGACGGUAACCGGAGAAGAAGCCCCGGCUAACUUCGUGCCAGCAGCCGCGGUAAUACGAAGGGGGCUAGCGUUGCUCGGAAUUACUGGGCGUAAAGCGCACGUAGGCGGUUUCUUAAGUCGGGGGUGAAAUCCUGGAGCUCAACUCCAGAACUGCCUUCGAUACUGGGAAACUUGAGUUCGGGAGAGGUUAGUGGAACUGCGAGUGUAGAGGUGAAAUUCGUAGAUAUCAGGAGGAACACCGGCGGUGUAGACGGCUUGCUAGACCAUAACUGACGCUGAGGCACGAAAGCGUGGGUAGCAAACA